rnacentral:rRNA from 1 species
AACGAACGCUGGCGGCAUGCCUAACACAUGCAAGUCGAACGAGACCUUCGGGUCUAGUGGCGCACGGGUGCGUAACGCGUGGGAACCUGCCCUUAGGUUCGGAAUAACUCCCCGAAAGGGGUGCUAAUACCGGAUAAUGGCUUCGGACCAAAGAUUUAUCGCCUUUGGAUGGGCCCGAGUUGGAUUAGCUAGUUGGUAGGGUAAAAGCCUACCAAGGCGGCGAUCCAUAGCUGGUCUGAGAGGAUGAUCAGCCACACUGGGACUGAGACACGGCCCAGACUCCUCCGGGAGGCAGCAGUGGGGAAUAGUGGAAAAUGGGCGAAAGCCUGAUCCAGCAAGGCCGCGUGAGUGAUGAAGGCCUUAGGGUUGUAAAGCUCUUUUACCCGGGAUGAUAAUGACAGUACCGGGAGAAUAAGCUCCGGCUAACUCCGUG